rnacentral:lncRNA from 1 species
GACAACGAUUCCAGAGGACUUUGGGAGAAAAUAUGAUCCAUUUUGCAGAUAUCUACCAUAGAAAAUGAGCUGCUUUAAUAGAAGGGGUGAUCCACUGAAAGUUGAGUUAGUCAAGAUUAACAAAUAGCUGCCAAUAUUCUCACAUUCUUGUAUAACUGUGAUAGUCAUUGAAAACUCUUCACAAAAUAUUUUUAUUCUCAUUCCAGAUACCAAAUGCAUUAAUUUUCCUCUGUAAACAAUUUGGACUGAACCACACAUAUUUUGAUAUGUGGAACUUUAUGUUCAUCUUCCAGAAGACCAUGCAAACAGUUCUAAAUUCUACUUUCAACAAAUGAUUAUUUUAAAAAGUAACAUUCCAAUGGCAUUUUAAUUUCUUUUUUGUUGUUGUUGUUUGCUUAAACUUUGGACUUACCUUCAAGUUUAAUUGUAUUGUUUUAAGAUGUAGCACAUACCUUCUUUUCAAAUUUAUCAUAAUUUUAUUACGGCUCAGUGUGUCAUAAGCUUAUUAAAAAUUCCCUAUUAAGAAGGUGGAUUUAAUUUGUAUUGCAUAUAAAAUCUGACAAAUAUAUACUAACACACAUAU